GGAUCUGAGGGCGAUCUGGCUGCCACAUCUGUCACCCCAUUGAUCGCCAGGGUUGAUUCGGCUGAUCUGGCUGGCUAGGCGGGUGUCCGCAUCCUCCCUCACCGCUCCACGUGCGUCGCUCCCGAAGCUGCGCGCUUGGUCGAAGAGGACGACCAUCCCCGCUAGAGGCGGACCGGUCUUCGGUCAAGGGUAUACGAGUAGCUGCCCUCCCCUGCUAGAACCUCCAAACAAGCUCUCAAACAUGCCCUCUCACCAACUUCUUGCUAGCACUGAAUAUUAUUAUUUUAAACAUUGUUGUUUUUGUAAUUCAGCCGAUAGGUGGUAGCUUGCAGUU
ensembl:misc_RNA 7SK 7SK RNA